AACGAACGCUGGCGGCAUGCCUAACACAUGCAAGUCGAACGAGACCUUCGGGUCUAGUGGCGCACGGGUGCGUAACGCGUGGGAACCUGCCCUUAGGUUCGGAAUAACUCCCCGAAAGGGGUGCUAAUACCGGAUAAUGUCUUCGGACCAAAGAUUUAUCGCCUUUGGAUGGGCCCGCGUUGGAUUAGCUAGUUGGUAGGGUAAAAGCCUACCAAGGCGACGAUCCAUAGCUGGUCUGAGAGGAUGAUCAGCCACACUGGGACUGAGACACGGCCCAGACUCCUACGGGAGGCAGCAGUGGAGAAUAUUGGACAAUGGGCGAAAGCCUGAUCCAGCAAUGCCGCGUGAGUGAUGAAGGCCUUAGGGUUGUAAAGCUCUUUUACCCGGGAUGAUAAUGACAGUACCGGGAGAAUAAGCUCCGGCCAACUCCGUG
rnacentral:rRNA from 1 species